GCAGGCGCGGGGCUGAGCCAGGGGAGCAGAACACGGGCGGGUGCUGGUCCCACGACCUCCUCCUCGCACGCUCCCCGCCACGGACACCCAACAUACCAGCCCGCCGCCAGCUCCAGCACGAGGCCUGGCAGCCCUGGGGCUGAGCUAAUGGUCCCCGAAGGGCUCGGCGAGCAGCUGCUCCCUCCCCGCUAUUGUGUUUUUGGGACAAGCUGUCUUCCUGGCUGCCGUCCCCACCGGCUCCUGGCCCGAAUCCCCGGCACCGGGUCCUGCCCCGGGAGCACCCGUGAGCUGUUCUGGUCCGUCCCAA